GUUCAUUAUUAGUAUGAUUUGCUUAUGUUGUUAUGUGUGUUCUAUUAAGCCUCGUCGUUUCCGGGAUUGUUUUGAAGCGACUUUAGUGAAUUUGUCUCUAUUCAUUGAGUGUUGGGCGUGUUGAUUAUUUGAUGACUAGUUAUUUAAUUACUAUUUCUCGAGUAUGUUCUGGACUUGAUCUGAUUUUGGUAAUGUGCUUGCGUUUCGGUCUGUAGAAGUUGAUUCUCUUUAAACAGUUUGCUUGUCACUUCGUUUUCAAGUUUUUUUAAAUGGAUAUUUCUUGUUAGAUUCGUUUUUGUUUUUAAGAUUGUGCUUCUGCAAAUGAUAUCUCUGGUAACUACCUAUAAAAAAUGAUAUCACUGGGAAUUAAGCUUCUACAGUUGGUUAUUAUUACAAAGUUUAUUUGGCAUACUUUAGGGUUGGAGUCCGUGAUCAGGUCAAUCUAAAUAUACAUUCUCUAUGGAUCUUCAUUCUAGGUGAGGACCUUUAGCCGCUCAUGUUAAUGCGCUCAUGAAGUUAGGUGAUGCUGUGCAUGAAUAGAUUUUAUUAAUCUCCCAAAAGUCAUAGUGCAAAUUAUACAGUGUUGCAGCUAUGAAUGAGAUUGUAAUUUGCACUAUGAGUUUUUGUAAGUAAAUGUAUAAUCCUAUGACUCUCAACCUCAACUAUUUUUUAAUAAGAAAGAAUAUUGUGAGCUGUUUUCACUAUA